rnacentral:lncRNA from 1 species
CCUACUGAGCUGUAGCUGCCAAAGUUGAAGGGCUGCGUCUCCCUUGCGUCUCCCCAGUCUUUACAGCUCCUGAAACACACUAAGGUUCUGAGUUCUCUGUUGCUGUGGGACCCGAAAAAAAGCCAGCCAGUAACUAUGAGCUUCUAUUUCCUCACUUAAAAACCAUAGAAAACCAUCCGAGAAGAGGACGAGUGAAGUGCCUGGCAAGAGGCACAGAGUUGAGCACGUCCGGUCAUCAAACUGAGAUCCUGAGGACCGAACUGGAGGGAGCGCUUUGGUUCGAGUCUUUCCAAUGAUCUAAGAAACCAUAAGCAUUAUUUCCAAAGCCUACGCUGACGGCUCUAGUUUAAAAUGCAUAAUCAAGCUACAGUGCUGUGUUGAAGUCACUGCGGGAAGGGAUGCCUAUCCUGACUAUGCCACACAGUCUGCACCGUGCGUGACAGGUAGUCUAGCUUCCUUGAAGUGCACUGAGACUUGUAAUGCAGCCUGCUCUGGCACACAGUCCUGC